rnacentral:rRNA from 1 species
AUGGACGUCAACGACGUGCUGCUGCUGGCGUCGGCGGUGGUGCUGGGGCUGGUGUGGUGGCGGCGCUGCUCCAAGACGGGCGGCGUGGACGGCCUCCCCCCGGGCCCGCCGGGGUGGCCGGUGGUGGGCAACCUCUUCCAGGUGAUCCUGCAGCGCCGCCCCUUCAUGUACGUCGUCCGCGACCUCCGGGAGAAGUACGGGCCCAUCUUCACCAUGCGCAUGGGCCAGCGCACCCUCGUCAUCGUCACCGACGCCGACCUCAUCCACGACGCGCUCGUCAAGCAGGGCCCCAUGUUCGCCAGCCGCCCGGCCGACAGCCCCAUCCGCCUCCUCUUCAGCGUCGGCAAGUGCACCGUCAACUCCGCCCCCUACGGCCCGCUCUGGCGCGCGCUCCGCCGGAACUUCGUCGCCGAGAUCGUGUCGCCGCAGCGGGUCAAGGGCUUCUCGUGGAUCCGGGAGUGGGCCAUGGGCAACCACCUCCGGCGGAUACGCGCGGAGCACGCCAAGACCGGCGCCGUCCGCAUGAUGGCCAGCUGCCGCCUCACCAUCUGCAGCAUCCUCAUCUGCAUCUGCUUCGGCGCCAAGAUCCCCGACGAGCUCAUCGUGGAGAUCGAGGAGGUGCUCAAGGAUGUGAUGAUGAUCUCGCUGCCCAAGCUCCCGGACUUCCUGCCGCUCCUCACGCCGCUCUUCCGGAGGGAGCUCGCCGAGGCCAAGAACCUGCGCCGGCGGCAGCUCAACUGCCUGCUGCCGCUGGUGCGCGCGCGGCGGGAGUUCCUCCGGACCGGCGGCAACGCGUGCAAGGCGGCCGGGGAGGGGAACAGGGUGAUCGGCGGCGUGGAGAUGAUGAGCCCGCCCGGGGAGGCGUACGUGGACUCGCUGUUCGACCUGGAGCCGCCGGGCAGAGGGAAGCGGCUCGGCGAGGAGGAGCUGGUCACGCUCUGCUCCGAGGUGAUGAGCGCCGGCACCGACACCAGCGCCACCGCGCUGGAGUGGGUCAUGAUGCACCUCAUCCUUGACCCGGCGGCGCAGGAGAGGGUCUACGACGAGGUCGUCGCCAAGGCCGGCAAGACCGCCCGGAUCACCGAGGCCGACGUCGAGGCCUUGCCUUACUUGCAGGCGGUGGUGAAGGAGACGUUCCGGCGGCACCCGCCGAGCCACUUCGUCCUCUCGCACGCGGCGACGCGGGACGCGGAGCUGGGCGGGUACCGGGUGCCGGCGAACGCCAGCGUGGAGUUCUACACGGCGUGGGUGACGGAGAACCCGGAGACGUGGCCGGACCCGGACGCGUGGCGGCCGGAGCGGUUCCUCGAGGGCGGCGAGGGCCACGACACCGACAUCACCGGCACGCGCGCGCUCCGCAUGAUGCCCUUCGGCGCCGGCCGCCGCAUCUGCCCCGCCGCCACGCUCGGCGUGCUCCACAUCCAGCUCACGCUCGCCAACAUGAUCCGCGAGCUCCGGUGGACUCCCCCCGCCGGCGAGGGGCCGCCAGACCCCACCGAGACCUUCGCCUUCACCGUCGUCAUGAAGAACUCGCUCCGGGCCGGCAUCGUCGAGCGCAACCAGCCGCCGCCGGUGGCCGCGAAUUGA